AUUGAACGCUGGCGGCAGGCCUAACACAUGCAAGUCGAGCGGAGCGGUGGACGGGCGAGUAAUGCCUAGGAAUCUGCCUGGUAGUGGGGGAUAACGUCCGGAAACGGGCGCUAAUACCGCAUACUAUCAGAUGAGCCUAGGUCGGAUUAGCUAGUUGGUGGGGUAAAGGCCUACCAAGGCGACGAUCCGUAACUGGUCUGAGUGGAUGAUCAGUCACACUGGAACUGAGACACGGUCCAGACUCCUACGGGAGGCAGCAGUGGGGAAUAUUGCGCAAUGGGCGCAAGCCUGAUGCAGCCAUGCCGCGUGGGUGAAGAAGGUCUUCGGGUUGUAAAGUACUUUCAUUCGGGAGGCGUUACCUACAGAGGAAGCACCGGCUAACUCCGUGCCAGCAGCCGCGGUAAUAC
rnacentral:rRNA from 1 species